rnacentral:lncRNA from 1 species
ACAGAGGACAGCCCCUGAAGGCAUAAGCAGGAAGGGCAUAAUGCUUUCCAAAAGAGAAAACUACAUGGACUUUACUGACUCAUCACUGAGUUCUGAGAUCACUGACACUUACACAUGUGUCCACGCUGUUGUGAGUCAUGGGGAAAAAUGGAGGAGCAAAAUGACCAAGUGGCAGGGUCUGUAAGAGUCUCUCACUGUAGGGAUGGGCUGCCCUGAGGAGACACUGCCCAGGCCUGGGUGCCCCGGGCCAAAGUCCUGACCCUUGCAGGGCUGUGUCCUGUGGAUGACAUGUGGCACUGGACUGCUCACUGACAGGAGGAGAUAAUCAUGGCUGCGCAUUGGGACGCCUCCUUUUCUCGGCUGGAAGAUGUGCCCGGAGCGGACUGAAGUCACUGCUCUUGGUGCAUCUGGAAUGUCCUUCCAGUGCCUGCUUCUUCCUUUCAAUGAGCUCCCUCUGCCCUUGGAACCCAAUUCUCUCCUCAGCAGCAGCUCAGAAGAUGACAUAUCUGUUUUUCCUAAAACCGAACCCUGGUGACCAAACCCUUGAUCAUGGCCUCAGAAUCAGAGAAGUGUUUUUCUCCCUCUCUUUCCACCUUCCGCUCUUUGAAUUCUCCUCUGUCCACUCCUUUUCCCAGUUUUCCUUGUUUCUCUCCCUCUCUUUCCACCUUCCGCUCCUUUGAAUUCUCCUCUGUCCACUCCUCUUCCCAGUUUUCCUUGUUUCUCUCCCUCUCUUUCCACCUUCCGCUCCUUUGAAUUCUCCUCUGCCCACUCCUCUUCUCAUCUCCCCAUCUUCCUGUAUAAUGGGCUUUAUGCCUUUGCUUCCCCAAGCCCACUCUGUAUUUCCUCCGUCUUUCAUGAUGAACUUUUUCAGGGCAGGUGGUGCAUACGGACCUCCCUAACCUCUCCUCCACCCCUUUUUCUACAACUCCAGUUCUCAGCAUCUGUGCUCAGCAGUCCCUGGGAAACACGCUCUCCUGAGGUGCCAUUAACAUUCUUAUCUCCAGACAGAACAGUCUCUCCUCAAAUCCCAAUUUUGUUGGCUUCUAUGCAAAGAGAAGCAGGAGGUAAAGAGAUCUCUUCCCUGGCUCAUCCCAGUGGGGAACCUGCGGACUCUGCCAAUGAAGAAAUGCUGAAGAAUUGCAAGAAGGACACUGCUCCAAAGGAGAGGAGAGGAGUACAGAUGCAAAAGGAGCUGUGCACAGCGGGAAAGGUGGCAGGAGCUGCACAGACACCCAUUCCAGCGUCAUUCUUGCUGCCUGUAAUCAAUUCCUGUUCCCUUAUUCUGGUGGUCAGUGUUCCUCAACAAAUCACGCAGAGCCCCUUCCAACAACUGGGUAAUCUUUUUGGCAAAACAGAUUCUGUGCUCUCCAGGGAAUCUCAAUCUGUGAUAUGAGAUGCCGUCUUGAAUUCAAAAUGGUGAACCUCUCGGAAGACUCUUCUAAUUUAGGUACAUUGGAUUCUAGCUCUUUUGGAUGAAAGUGGGAGAAACACAGCUUAGAGACCAGAGAACAUUCUCAGCACCUGAUCACAUCAUUGUAGUCCUAGAUGUCCACUCAGAGGUCUUUGCUGAGCACCAACCACUCUUGGAGGAGAACUGCUUGGAAACCAGGAUGUAGAUGCACAAAUGUGCUCUGCCCUGACUCAGCUUGGAGCCCCCAUCAGAGCUGUCUCCCUUUCCAGGAGAGUCUGCCUAUCACAGACACUCUUAGUUCCCUGGACUGUGUCUUUUUUGACGAGCUCUGGUGUGAGCUACAGUGACAAUGGACAUUCCUAUCACUCUUGACGGCAUCCUACCUCAAGUAAACACUGUGUUUCUCACAUUUUCUAAACCUACAGGUGGAGGCAGCCCAGAAUUAUGGGCAAUUAAAGGCAUGGAGAGUGAGGGAGUGGGAGGUGAGCUGAUGAAUAAAUGCCUCAGACUCCUUCAGCUGAACAUUUCUUCCUGGUUCCUCAACAGGAUCCUGGGAAAAUUGAGCUUCAGUUGCCCACAGCAGUAACCAACUCAAUAAUGUACACUUUAAAUCUCUCUUGUAGGUUCCCUGCUCCCGGGUUCAGCUUCCUGGGGUCACCUCCAAAAAAAAAAUGACUUGACCUCAAGCUCAGAUCCAAUGCUCUGCUUUAAGACAAAGCCCAAUGAAAGUUUUCUUCAUAGUUAGAGAAUAAACACAAGGAAACUAAUUGUAUUAUUAUCAAGGCUAUAAUUAUCAUACUUUCAUCAACAUGAAACCAUGAUCAUCCAGGCCCGAGAGAGCACUCCCACACAGAUGCUCAUGGGCCUUAUGGGAAGCCCUCUCCCCUGCAGCUGGGCUCGGACCCUCACUCUCCACCUCCCCCUAGCCCUCAGCCCUAGGGCAGGCCAUCCUUUUUCCAGUAACACAGUUUUGUUUUGUUUUGUUUUGUU